rnacentral:lncRNA from 1 species
CGUGGAUACGAUCCCAACUCAUUCUAUCUAUGUAGUUUGAGUUAGAUUUAUUUUUGACCACCUACGACAGUGAUCAACUAUCUAGCAACACUUGCUGGUGGCAAUAUAUAUAAAAUUGAGCACGAUCUUAAUCAGUAUAUUGUAGAUUUGGAUAAGUAUGGGUGUAACUAUUGCCCAAAAAAGUAGCAAUCCAAGAGGGGAG